AAACUCAAAGGAAUUGACGGGGGCCCGCACAAGCGGUGGAGCAUGUGGUUUAAUUCGACGCAACGCGCAGAACCUUACCAGCCCUUGACAUGUCCAGGACCGGUCGCAGAGAUGUGACCCUCUCUUCGGAGCCUGGAACACAGGUGCUGCAUGGCUGUCGUCAGCUCGUGUCGUGAGAUGUUGGGUUAAGUCCCGCAACGAGCGCAACCCCCGUCCUUAGUUGCUACCAUUUAGUUGAGCACUCUAAGGAGACUGCCGGUGAUAAGCCGCGAGGAAGGUGGGGAUGACGUCAAGUCCUCAUGGCCCUUACGGGCUGGGCUACACACGUGCUACAAUGGCGGUGACAAUGGGAUGCUAAGGGGCGACCCUUCGCAAAUCUCAAAAAGCCGUCUCAGUUCGGAUUGGGCUCUGCAACUCGAGCCCAUGAAGUUGGAAUCGCUAGUAAUCGUGGAUCAGCACGCCACGGUGAAUACGUUCCCGGGCCUUGUACACACCGCCCGUCACACCAUGGGAGUUGGUUUUACCUGAAGACGGUGCGCUAACCGCAAGGAGGCAGCCGGCCACGGUAGGGUCAGCGACUGGGGUGAAGUCGUAACAAGGUAGCCGUAGGG
rnacentral:rRNA from 2 species